AAAAAGACAAACCUGGUUUCCGUACCUGACCGUCCGUCUUAUUUAAAAAAAUUAUGAAAAAAUUAAAAAGACAAGUCACACAUAAAAUAUUAAUCAUGUUUUAUCAUCUAACAAUAAUGAAAAUACGAAUUAUAAAAAAAUUUUAUAUAAGACGGACAAUCAAAAUUGGAUACGGAAACCCAGGGUUUAUUUUUUU
rfam:Oryza glaberrima chromosome 6 Oglab06_0105_2, whole genome shotgun sequence.